rnacentral:rRNA from 1 species
CGGGACGCAGCAGUGGGGAAUCUUGGACAAUGGGCGCAAGCCUGAUCCAGCAAUGCCGCGUGCGUGAAGAAGGCCUUCGGGUUGUAAAGCGCUUUUGUUCGGGAGGAAAUCCUAGGGGCUAAUACCUCUUGGGGAUGACAGUACCGGAAGAAUAAGGACCGGCUAACUACGUGCCAGCAGCCGCGGUAAUACGUAGGGUCCAAGCGUUAAUCGGAAUUACUGGGCGUAAAGGGUGCGCAGGUGGUUGAUUAAGUGUGAUGUGAAAGCCCCGGGCUCAACCUGGGAAUUGCAUUGCAAACUGGUCAACUAGAGUAUGGCAGAGGGGGGUGGAAUUCCGCGUGUAGCAGUGAAAUGCGUAGAGAUGCGGAGGAACACCGAUGGCGAAGGCAACCCCCUGGGCUAAUACUGACACUCAUGCACGAAAGCGUGGGGAGCAAACAGGAUUAGAUACCCUAGU